GCAAACUAGGGAGAGAAUGGAAAAUUGUUACUGUUGAUGAUUAAUAUAAUGUUGAGUGGAAAGGCAUAUUUUGCUCUAACCACAAUCUUAAGAGCAAUCCCAGGAUGAAAUACUAUUUGUUAUGCUUAAGUUUGAACCCACUAAUUUCCAUCUCGAUCAUGACUAGGGGUCGUCAAUAAUACCUAGAUUGACCCAACCCAAACAGAACCCACCCAAACUGAAUUUUUCGUGUAUUGACCAUGUUGACAUAUAAUAUAUACAUAGCAAACAUAAACAUUUCAAAAUUGAACGAGAUAUUGAAGAUGAUCUCUCUACCCUAAUGGAAGCCAUGACAAGGUGCUUAACUUCGAGCCUUUAGCACCGUUUUUAGGUGAACUUUGUGAAGCCACCACGAGAAACAACCCGGAGAGAUCUUCUCUUGAUCAUCAAAGGUUGCUCUUCCAUCUUCAUCUCCUCCUUGUUUCCUCUUUUUCUUCAUCUUCUCCUCGUGCUGCUUCCUCAGCAAAUAAGCUUCUGCUAGCUCAGGCCCUGCCAUGGACGUGAUGGACACGUCCUACGAUACAAAGCGAAGCGCAAUUAUUGCGAGGUAGGACGAGAAUAAUAAUUUCAUGGACUAAUGAGCUGAGCUAAUGAGGUGAUUUAUAGAGGUGGCAUGUUCUUGGAGAGCAAGCAAAGCAUAAAGCAUCGAUUUCAAACCCUAAUUCGUCAUCUAUGGACAGACUUGAAAGUGAGUGGGUAGAAGUUUAUAACCCAUCAAUAAUAUUUUUUGUGUUAGCUUUGCCAAGUUAGUGUUUAUGGCAGCUUCAAUGUGGACAAAAGUUGGUAAUGAGGGAGGAUUUUGCAAAUACCUUUCAACUCUAUUUGAAUAUGACCUAAGAAAUGUCAUCAUCGUUCUUUCUCAUGUGCCCAUGUCCAAUAAAACUUAAGCGGGGUCUAGGAAGUACCAACAUUCUUCAAAAAUCUUCAUGUCGUGUUGAACACUCCGACACGUGUUCAACAUUCUCUGACACUUGAUCAACACAUGUUGGAAAAUCUGACACUUUAUUAACUUUCCCGAUAUUUUUUGACACUCGAGUAAAAAUUCCAAUAUGUGGGUUUCUGACACAUGAUUUCGACAUGAUUUCGACAUACCAUGCCAAUUUUAAAAUUUUUCAAUAAAUGAGAGAUUAAAAUGUAUAUAUAUAUAAUAAAAUUAAAAUAAUAAACGGGGAAAAAAGAAAAAUCAAAUCUUCUAUUCUCUUCUACUCCUCACUUUCCAUGAUACAUAAUUCACUCUCAAGUUUUUUUUUUGCUCUUUUCUUCUAACACAUUUGACAUGUGAGUCCAAAAUGUGAAUUGUUUUUAUUCUCCAAGUUUUAUGGAUUAUUGAAAUAAAGGUGAAUUUGUCAAAUGGAAAUAAUGAAUGAUAUUAAUAAAUGGUGGAUUAAUGUUUUUAGUGUAAAUUUAUUCUAGGUUUUAUUAUUAUUUAUUUAUUUGUGAAUUUGAAUCAAAUUAAUUUGAUUGAAAUAAUCAUAAAAAUGUUAAUUUAUUAUGUAUAUAUAAAAAUAUAUAUUUAAUGUAUAAUGUAUCCCAACGUGUCAGAAUUCUUUAUUUUUUUAGAAACGAUGUGUCGGCGUGUCAUGUCGUGUCGUGUCGUGUCGUGUCGUGUCCUGUUAUUUUGUGUUGCAUGUCGGUGUCGGUGCCACUUAAAUGUUGGUACAUGACAAUUAAUAUUCUAUGGGCCUUCAUUUACUUGCUUGAAAGACAAAACUGUAAGUAGAAUUGAAAAUUUUGAGACACUCCUAUUAACAUGGUCUAAACUUGUAACCACAUUAUAAAUUUAGUGUUAUGGCCCAAGUAAUGAGCCCAAGUAAAAUGAUGCAAUUCAAAAGGUCAGGAGUGUCCAAAAAGCUUAAGUUUGUGCAUUAGUCGCAGGGGAAGGGGCUUAUGCAACCCAAUUUGAAGGAAGUACAUUUCGUCUUUGGGUUUUGAUGACUUGAUCUGCCACUUGAUUUGCAUCACGGGAGUAACGAGCCAACCUAAGGUGAGUGAAAAGUCUUAUUCUAGCGCGAGCCUUAGUAACUUAUUCGAUAUGUGAUCAACACUCCUUGUAUCAGAUUGGAGUGAUACAACUACAGGUCCAAACUCUCCUCAAAUGGCAAUUGAAGGAAAUUUGGGGUUCAAGAAUAGCCAAAGCUUCAGCUUGGGUUGCAGAAGACGCCAUCCCAUUCCUUGCAAAUCCAUCGACCAAGAGACUUGAGUGAUCUUAAACAACAUUGGCUACAACAGCUUCGUUCGUUCUUUUAAGGUAAGAUGCAUCUAUGUUAACCUUCAACGCCCCCUGUUUCGGUGGCUCCAGUUCCAAGAGGAACUGAUCUGAUUUUUCCCUCCUUGUUUUGCCAUUGAUGCCCAUCGAAAGAUGUUUUCGUAAAAUCAUCUUGCUGAUUCUAGCAGUUGGUCUGCUUCGGGGUUUCAAAGGUUGAGUGACAUUGUUGUUCGUGACCUCCGAAUCUGCCAUAGAACUACGGAGAGAAGUUCAAAUGACACCGAGCUAUGAUUAAAUUCACACAACCAUUCUCCUAUACUUUGCCGGUUUUGGCUCAAAAGACUUGUGCAUCAUCAAUCAUCUAUGGUUCUUUGUUCAUGUUUCCCUCGUUGUAUUUUACCGAUAAAUACACGCAUACGUAUCCAUUAUUUAUGAUCUCUUCGAUGAAUAUGAUGUGCAUUUCUAAGUGCGCUGUACUUGUAUUCAUCUAAAUUUAUCUGCAAGAGUAAUAAUAUAACACUAAAGCAAAAGAACCACUAGCAGAUUUAUCUGCAAUAGAUAUGUUUAUUGAGAUAAGAAUAAAUCAUGACCCAUAAUUUGAUUCUGUUCAAUAGUGAUAAUUUAUAUGUUUGUUUAUCAUAUGACUAUACAAUUUUGACUUUAUAUGAUGAAAACCAAUUACAAUCGUUCCAUAAUUGAGUUCUUACCAAAUACCUUUAUUUUAUUUUCAGCAUAAAAAGUGCCUAAAUUUUAAUAGUUAUUCAGCUCAUUGUGUUUGGAUGGAUGGGAAUCGCUUCUUGUUUCGAUGCAAAGGUGGUUGGCACAGCCCGACCUGAUAGAUAGAGGAAGAAAGGCUGCCAAAAGCACUUGGGAGCAAUUACUGCCUGCAUCCGAAACACAGAAACCCGAUUCUCACAAACCGUCAUAUAAAGUGGGUCCCACCUGAGGCCCCUCUUUGAAGUGAACAAGGCUGGAAUGAUGCAGAUUCGAAUCGGAGGUUCUCAAGUUUCAAACACAGAGAAUAUAACUCUCGAAUGAAAGCGAAUUUUCUCUUCAGUCACGUAUUAUCCGGACUCCUUCGUCCAUUAGCCAACAUCAAUCUCAUUUCUAUCGCCUAUUUCUUUGUGCUCCAACUUGAGCUCCAGAUUGAAAUAUAGACUCAACCUGCUAUGGACCUUGCGAUGCGUGCGAAUCUCCCAAGAUUCAUCAAAAUUGAAUGACCCAAAUCGCUUAGUUCAUUGUAAUGGAUAAAACCUACGAAUCUUGAGCAAGUCUGAAGUGAAUUGAAGCAAAUUCCUUUUAAAUUCGAACUAUUCAUUCAAUUCAAGAAACCCAUUGGUAGAAGUACAAUAUUGAUAUUCAACGCGAUAUCCCCCAAAAAAGGGGAAAAUCCUCCCGGACUCAUGAGACAAGAUUCGAGAUUCAGAUAUAAACAUUUGUACAAGCAGAAAGAAAAGAAAAGAAAAAAGAAAAAAUCCCGGCGGAAGCUAAAAACCAUUCAUGGCGGGGAGCUACUUCGAGGGAGCAACGUGCGGCCCUUCUGCAGAGGAAGGAUGGACAAGGGCCUUCCCGAACACCCGAGACAAGGAGAAACGUCCUCUCCCUCCGCCGCUCGCCGUCCUCUCUUUCUUCUCGCGAUCACCCGCAUCCUCAGCCAUCUUUUCCUUCUUCAUCUUCUCCUUGUAAAGCUUCCGCAUCAUGUACACCUCCGCGAGGCUCACGCCCGGCUGAUAAACCCCCGCGCUCGCCAUUCCUUUCCCUUCCUUCUGAACCCGAAAGGCUUGGAUUUCUGCGGAUCGUGAUGAGCGAUGGAGGGGAUGUGUGCAAGAAUUGUGCAGGGCAUGGGGAUGUGAGGGUGGCAUAUAUAGAGAUAGAGUGAGAGAGAGAUGGGGGGAGCUAAAGAAGGUGACUCCGACUUUGCCUCUUGCCGGUUCUGCGCAUUUUCCGCUGCGCUUCGCUUGCGAACUUGCUGAGCAAGGCAUAAGGAAAGCGCCCGCCCGAAAGCGACCACCACCAAGGGGGAUUCGAAUGGGUGGGCGAUGCAAUUGGCGGGCCGGGAGAGGAGAGGAGGGAUGACGUCAGCGAGGAGGCGGCGCUCCACCCGUGUAAACUAGAUGGAUGGCUGUUGACACAUAUUUUUAGCAAAUUUAGGAAAAUAAAGAAAAUAAAAAUUGCAUUGGAACAAAUAAAAGGAAAAAAUGAAAAAAAAAUUAGGGAAAUUGAUUAUGCAUGGAAAUUUGAAAUUCUGAUGAGUAUUCAGAUUUCGUUAAAUGCAGAAACAAUUUAAAAAUAAAGUGAAUAAGAGGCAAUAAUUUUACAAAAUGGAAGAAAUCUUAAUAGGAUCGGGCUGAUUGCGAAAUCAUGCUCUGAUUUACAGCUCUAAUUUAAUGUGAUAGAAGAUGGAAACUCGAAAAACUGCCAUACAAAGCGGCCGUUUGGAAUGAGUUUAAAAGAGAGCUUCAUUUUUCGUAACUAAGGGGCAAAAAAAAUUGAGGUGAAUUCAAAAGAAUUUGGAGAGAAAAUUCUUGCGAUCGUCCAUCUUAGUCAAAGGGAAAACCCUUUUUCCCUCCUUUCUCUGACAAGACCAUCUUAGUCAAAGGGAAAACCCUUUUUCCCUCAUUUCUCUGACAAGAAAAGUCAAAAAGAAAAUGCAGCAGAGAGAAGAGACAGAGAUAGGAGACGUAGGUAGUGACGUGAGGGACAGAAAAAAAGAAAGAAAAAAAAGAGGAACCGCUACAGUGUCGUCUUCUCCAAAGGGGCCUCCUGAUCAUUCCAGGCGUGCCCGCGCCAUCCAGCGCGCCGGCGCCACCUCCGCCAGCCACCUCCGCGUCUCCGUCGCUACUGCUCCGACGCAUCUCCGCCACCGCACCUCUCCCCCGCCGGUGAUCCCUGCUACCUGGAUCGACGCCCACUGCCGCGCCUCUGCACCCGCGACCUACUGCUGCCCAGCCUGACGUCGGAGCUCCAAAGCCUGUCGCUCCUGACGUCGCCGCGCCACCGUGCCACUCGCCUCAGCCCAGCACUCGACACCUUUGCGACCCCGCCUUGACUGCCCGUUGCAGCAACCUGCACUGACCCCCUCUGCUCCGCCUACAGCUACACCACCGCCUAGUAGCUCGAGGCGCUGCUGCUGUUCUCUGCCAGGCAACCCAACGCCGUUGCCUCCUGCUCGCUUGUCACCGCGCCAGAGUGCUGCCCGAUUCGACGCACCCCUGCGCCGGAGCUCGACGCCGUCGUCGCCCAGCAGUCCGCGAUGCCCCGACGCCAGCCGAGCCCCGCAUCGCUGCCGACGUCGCCACCCAGCAACCCGCGGUCCAGUUCCACUUUCGCUCCGUUCGAACACCGCUGCCUUGCGACAACCAACGCCCGACACCCACGGUAGCCCAUCGUCCUACAAAUCGAGGCCACAAGCGACACCCGCGACAUUUACUCGCCGCACCACCGCUCGGAGUCCGACGCCGCGCGCCUCUGCAACCGGCGACCCACCCGUUGCUAAGUCCGGCCCGUUGCUCGCCUUCCCCUCAGAAUCCCGCUCACCAACGUUGCUGCAAGUCCCCUCCCCUCAUUUAGGUAGUUUAGUUUAUUUUUUUAUGUUAUUUUUAUUUUAUUUGAUAGCAUCUUUAAGUUUAGUUAUGGGAAAAUGUCACAAAUAGUCCCUAUACUUUUACCCAAUGUGCAAUUUCGUCCCUGAACUUUCGAUUGGCUCAAUUUGAUCCCUGAACUAUUGAUAAAUGUCCAAUUUAGUCCCUGAACUUUUGAUCGGCUCAAUUUGGUCCUUGAACUAUUCAUAAAUGUCCGAUUUAGUCCUUCGUUACUGUUUUUCAUUUUUUUAAAAUUUUGUUAAAUUUUUUUAAAAUUUUUUUAAAAUUUUUUAAAAUUUUUUAAAUUUUUUUUGCUUUUUCUCCCUUCCCUCCGCCGGUUCCGCCGGCUCCGGCGGAGGGAAGGGAGAAAAAGCAAAAAAAAUUAAAAAAAUUAAAAAAAUUUUAAAAAAAUUAAAAAAAAAGGAAAAACAGUAACGAAGGACUAAAUCGGACAUUUAUGAAUAGUUUAAGGAUCAAAUUGAGCCGAUCAAAAGUUCAGGGACUAAAUUGGACAUUUAUCAAUAAUUCAGGGACCAAAUUGAGCCGAUCGAAAGUUCAGGGACGAAAUUGCACAUUGGGCAAAAGUAUAGGGACCAUUUGUGACAUUUUCCCUUUAGUUAUCUAAAUUGCAAUAUUAGAUGUUAAUAUUUGUGAAUUUAGUAUGCAUUAUCCACAGGGAUUUUGUCUAGAAUUAUUAUAAUUAUUAAUUUGAUCCGAAAGACAUUGGAUCAUUUUUUUAAUUAUUUUAAUUGUUGGGCUUUUUAGUGAGAUUUUAAUUGUUAAAUCGCAAUAAUUAUUUAAUUUGGUUCGUAAGACUUCGGAUCAGAUUUGUAAUUAUUUUGAUCUCUUUGUUGUGAUAAUUAGGGUUAGAAUAACCGUUAAUUUGACCUGUGAGAUAACAUGUUAUUUUUUUGAUUAUUUUAAUCCUUCCUCGCUUGAUUUUGUUGAUAGUUUAGAUUUAAUAAUUACUUAUCUUUAAAAAAAAACUAAAAAAAAUCAAAAUCAAAAAUGAAAAAAAAAAUCAAAAUCUCGAUUGAGCAUAUAGGACAUAUAGGUUUAAUAAAUUAGACACGUAGGUUUAAUUAAUCAAAUUUUUAGGAUUAUAUUUUUAGGACUGCAUUUUUAGAUAUUUAAAAAAAAAAAGUUAGGAUUAGACUUAAAUAGCCUUUUUUAGAGUCUUAGAAUAAUUGGCACAUUUUCAUAUUCUCAUCCUAUUUUAAAAAAAAAAAAAAAUUAAACAAUAGUUUUCUAAGAUAGGAUAGGGUUUAAGUCAAAUUAAUCCCUAGAAUAAAUUAGAAAAUUAUCCAUUUUUAGAUAGAUUAAUUAGGAUCUUUAUAAAUUCUGAAUUUCAAAUAAAAAAAAUCCAAAAUACUAGGUGCAUGUUAACUAGUUUGCAUAAUAGGAUUAUUUAAUCAAAACUUGUUAAUUAGUGAAGUUAGGUCAUGAGGUGCAUAAUAAUUAGUUUGCAUAAUAGGCCCAUUUAAUUAAAAUUUGCAUAUUAAUAAGAUUAAGUCAUUUAGUUUAAAAUAGCAUUUUCAUAAAAGAAUUCUAAUUUUUAAGAAAAUCCAAAAAAAAAAAAUGAUUGCUUGCUUUGCGUGAUGCAAUGGAUUAGCACCCGUGUGGUCACCACAUUUGCAUGAUAGUAAUUUAGGUUAAAAUAAAUCAAAGCUGCCUGAAAAAACAUUUUUAAAAUUAAAAAGAAAUGGUACCGAAAGGGCAUUAGAAAAUUCUAGUGUAACCAAGUCCCCGUACCCUUAGUCUCUGGUUCGUAGGAGUAAAAUAAAUCUCUAUUUAUUUUACUUAGGUGUCUGAUCGACCUACCAUAAAUCGAUUAGUGGCGACUCCUAGAUAAUAACCUCUUGCAUGUUAGAUAAUUCAACCUUAAGUCGCGAAUUGGUAUGGGCUUGGGAGAGCUCGAGCUAAGUUUAAAAACUUAGCAGUCCAUUAACCUAGUUUUAGGUGGUGCACCCGAAAAAUAGGUCGCGACAGCUUGGCGACUCCGCUGGGGAAAUUGUGUUGAAAAACUUAGUGGUCUUAGACCAAUUUUCUUUUAAAAAUGUUUUUGUUUGGCAGCGAGGAUCCCGGGUACGUCCCUAACAUUUCUAAGGUGUUAAAUGUUCUUGCAGAUGGGAGGUAUAAGGGGGGUAGUCUAUGCUAACCUUUGUCUUGCAGGUUGGAAUGUGAGAUUAAUGAUUUAUUUUUCCAUGAUUAGAAGUGUUGUUUGCAUUUAAACUGUUGUGCAUGAUUUAUUGUUUUUAGCACUACACUAUUGCACACACAACCUGUGGCCGGACCUAGGCUGCGAUAAGAUUUCUAGAAUGGUGUUGAGAAUGAUACUUCCUCCAAAGUGAGACUGCUAUGUAGAGGUUGACCUUCUUUUCCCCGAAAGUCUUUUCAUGGUGUCGAAUGUGUUUGUCCAUAUUUGCGAGACUGCGUGACUAUUGGAUAUUCCAUUCGACUGAGCCGAAGUUAGGGGGACCUGACACGUUAAUGCGAGACUGCAACGGUCAGAUCAUCUUCUUAGCUCCACUUUGUUAAGCUAUUUAGAUAGAAAUCGAGCCUCACAUUUCAUGCGUGUGUCUAUGUGCUUGUCAUCCCUUCUAGUGAAAGUAAGUUGUCUGAAUUCUUACUUCGCAAUUUACUUACUUUAUUGUAAUUUUGUCGGUCCAUGACAAUAGGUUUCGUCGCCGGUCUUGUUUUAUAUGCUAUGGGGAAGACCGACGUACAAUUCAUUUCCACUCCCAAAAAAGAGCUCAAGAUGUGGCUGGAUCAGUUAGAUCAAGAGGGCCAGAGGUAUGUGAAGACUAGGAUUGCCCGACUAUCCCACUAUUGGAGAUCAACAUCCACUCUAGUGUGAUACAAGCACUCACUCACUUCUGGUGUCCACAAACUUCUACCUUCAUAUUUGGUGAGUACAAAUUGACUCCAACUCUUGAGAAAUAUAGUGUUGCCAUUGGAAUGCCCCUGGAAAAAGAACUUGUUAGACCCCCUAUCGGUAUAGAUUCUAUUUCUGAAUUAUCACAGUUUUUAGAAAUCGAAGCCGAAAGAUUAAGGAAAAUUGUCAAGGCCAACUGUUUUGCAUGCCCAUUUUCGUUUUUGAAAGACUGUUUUGCAAGCCAAUCAAUGGUGUCAAAAGUUAGGAUCUUCAUGUUAGCAUUUUUUGGGCUAAUUGUUUUUCCUUAUCGAAGAAAUGCCAUUGAUCCGUCAAUUUCAUGGGUGGUUAAUCGUGUUUGUGAUGGGUUAAAUUAUGUCAAUAUGGUUUUAGCUGAAAUAUUUUUGUCAUUAAACCGUUUCAAACAAAAUGAAGAAAAGACCAUGAGUGCACUUCCUGAACUUUUGCAAAUAUGCUUUUUCUCCCACAUAAGAGGAUUUGGGCAUCUCAUAAAACAUUUUAAGAUUGAUGAUUUUAGGCACUCCAUACAAAAAUUUGCGGUCUUAGAGCGUUUUUCUCCAAAUAAACAGUAUGCUCGUUGGAUUAAUUUUUUGAAAAAUCCUAAUCCUAAGGCAUUCUUAUGGCAUACUAAAUGGUUCCGAGUUGAGGAGGCUCGUUUCUCACACAAGCAUGAUGAGCCCAUCCCGUUGUUGGGUCUUUCUGGUGUGACUUUUUAUUACCCAUAUAGGGUAGUCCGCCAGUACAAAGCUCUUCAGGAGGUUCCUCCACCACUCAAGAUAGAGAUGUUCCAGGUUCGUUUUGUUCGAACAGACUAUAACUACUUCAACGAGAUCCAGAUGAUCAUUGCCGCAUGGAAUGAAUGCCACCCAGAGAAGAUUUUGGUGCCCAAAAGACUGAAAGGGGAAGAGGAACUCCACCAUGCGUCGGCAUUCUACAUUCAACAACACCGGAUUCCUGCGACCUUGCGUCCAAUGGUGCCAGAUGUGAUUGAAAAGCCCACUCAGCGAGCACAAAUUGAGCAUCUUAAGCGGAGAGUUGAAAUGAUUGAAGUUGAAAAUAAGAAGCUUCGCAAGGCGUUGAAAUCCUGAAAGCAUAUAAAAUGAGAUCUUUUGAAUUUUGAUUCUUAGUCCAAUGUCUAGGGAGCUUGAUUUCGAUUUUCAAUUCAAUUUUUAGUUCAAUGUUUAGGGACUUGAAUUUCAAUUCUUAGUUCAUUGUUUGGUUUAAUGUUUCUAGUGAAUUUUGAAUAAAAAUCAGGCGGUUAGACCGUUGUCAUGGGCCAUUUUCUAUCUUGUCAUUAGUUCUUACAUUACCUCUUUGUUUUAGGUAAAAAUGGAUCCUUCGCGGUCUCCCGUUAUUACGCGAUCAAAGGCUAAAAUGGCUGACCAAAGUGAGAUGCGCGAUCGCAUGUCCUUCGUGGAAGAUCAACUUAAAUAGUUAGCCACUUCCAUGCAGCUUGUAACAGCUCAACUUCAAUCCCUCCAAGUGAACCCGAUUCCUCCACCCGCUCUCCCAGAGAUAGUAGUCCCGAGGCAAGCAAAUAGGGCCCAAAUGAGUGAUGACGAAAUGCUCGAGCUGGAAGAUGACAUGGUUCCCACGACAGAUCAGGAUGAGCGCGUUGCAAAGCUGGAAUAGAAAGUGAGACAGCUGCAGGAGUCUCAAAGCUCACUCUCGUUUGACCUCUCAGUCUAUGAGAAGGUUAAAAUGCCGAGCAAGUUCAAAAUGCUGGAGUUCAAGAAGUAUGACGGGACGUCUUGUCCAAAGUCUCAUUUGCAGAUGUACCACGUGCGCAUGGCCCAGCACGUAAAAAAUGAGCCCCUUAUGAUUCAGUCGUUUCAUGCAAGUUUGACCGGACCUGCACUAUACUGGUAUGUGAUGAAGAACGUAAACCUCCUCGAAACCUGGAAUGAGGUAGCGGAUGCGUUCCUCAAACAGUACAAGUUCAACAUGGACAUCGCGCCUUCUCGAGAAGACUUGGAGGGGAUGGAAAAGAAAAUGAAUGAGUCAUUUAAAGAAUAUGCUAUGAGAUGGAGAAACUUGGCGGCUCAAAUUACUCAUGAGUCUACCAACAAGGAGUUGAUGAAAUUGUUUGUGAAGACCAUUCCAUCUGUUUUUCGUAACCGAAUGGCAAGUACAUAUGUUGAGAGCUUCAAUCGGCUUAUUCCUGUAGGAGAACAGAUCGAGAUGGGGAUAAGGGAAUGAUGGUUUUCUGAACCAUCUACUAAAAGAUUCUCUACCAAGAAAGAGAAGGAAGUUGUUGAGGAUGUGAAUGUGACCUAUAGCCCAGAAGGUACUAAUCGCAACCCAUCCAUCCAAAUGAAUCAAAGGAAACAACAAAUUGCUGGUCGUCAAUCAUUUGCCCAAGCAAAUAAUAGAAGGCAGUUCUCUCCUCUCCCUGGAUCUCCAUCUCAGGUGUUGGCGAUUCUCCGGAAGAAAGGUUUGCUUUCUAGUGAACCGAAACUUCCUAACCGCGAAAGCAAUCGAGGUUACGACCUGAUGAAGAAGUGUGACUAUCAUGGCGGUGAACUGGGGCAUUCAACUGAUGAAUGUUUCACCCUCAAGCACAAGAUCCAAAAUCUCUUGGACACGAAGGCCUUUUCGUUUCAAACUGCUCAGCCGAAUGUCCAGAAAAAUCCGCUACCAAAGCAUGAGGGUACGGUGAAUGCUAUCUUGGAACAUGACGCCAGUCGAAUCAAGAGCUUGAAGGUGCAUGUGAUGGACACCCUGAGGCAGCCAAACGAUGGAUGGGGUGGCAUGGAUGGACCGACACCCCCCGGAAAUGGAGAACCCUGAUGAUGUGUUGGAAGGGGUUACGAACUUGUUUGAUGACCUCAUCAUAAGAGCUGUUGAUGAAGGACCCCCUGAAGAGAUGGGCUUUGGCCCACAAGAGUAACUUUUUUACUGCUUUUGCAUAUUCCCUUGCGUGGGAAUUUUUAUUAUUUUCUGAGAGAUGUUUUCAGUGAUUAAGUGUUGCAUUUUUUUCAUCCAAUAAAUGUAAUUGAUUGAUGAAUUUCAAUGAAAUUACAAGUUUUAUUUUGAGGGCAUGAUGAGGUAUACCAAACCAGCCUGGUGAUGAUAUCCAACCGAUAAAAGAAAAGAAAAAUCCAAGGAGAAUUCUGAGGCCUGGGCUUCAUCAUGUUUUCUCGUGUCAAAAUGUUUCAAAAAAAUGUCUUUCCAAAUGCUUUUAAAAAAAAUUCAAAAAAAAUAAAAUAAAACUUGAUUUACUUUGUUUGUCUUUUUGACCCAUCUACUUUUUGUUUCAAACACAGUCUUGUAACAUGUAAAGGUGCGGAAAUGGUCCAAUCCAAUUCUAGAGCCUAGAGGCAAGUUCGCUCCAAAUUACAAUGGCCCGUAUGUGGUAAAGAAGAUACUUCCUAAAUGUGCCUCGAUAUUGGCAGAAAUGGACGGUCGUGAGUUUUCCACUCCUGUUAAUUCAGAUGCUGUCAAGAAGUAUUACCCAUGAUAGAAUUUGCCAUGUCAUGUUUUGAACUGCAAGCAUUUCAAUGAUGAAUAAAUUACUUCAAUGAGUUCAAUUGUUCAAAUUUAUUGCAAAUCUUGCAUUUUUUCUCCCUUGAUGAAUUGUGUGAGAUAAAUUGAAUGUGUCAAAUGAGAUACUUUGGAAUGAUGAAAGGCAAGCCUUAUUCCAUACACUGUUUCAUAUACUAACCCCUAGUGAGUUGUGUGAAAAAUUCCAUGCCCGCAAGGAAGAGGGCUAUCUCGCAAAGGGUACGUCAACCAAGGUGAUGAGAGGCAUUCAUUUCUUUAUCCCAAACACUACAUGUGAUCCAUUGCUCAACCCCUUUGAGCCCUAUACACUUAUGGAGAUUUUUAAAAUUAUCCCUGUCAAGAAUCAUCCCACAUUGGAGCAAAUUUGAAAUGAAUGGUAGGAAUCUUCUUGCUCCCACUUGCAUCAAUCUUCGAAUAUUGCUUUUGUAGUGUAACUAGUACGGUAAUUUGAAGUGCUUUAGGAUGACGAAAAGCAGUUUUUUCUUUAUCCUAUACACUUUUAUCCAUUGCAUAGCCCACUUGAACCUAUGAAUUUAUUUCAUAUUAAACCCAGUUAGUGAUCAUCCCCCACAUUGGGGCAAGGCAAAAAGAACCAUUCAAGUAACAUGGUUUAGAAUGCUGCAAAUGAUGGUUGUGCAAGUUCAAAAAAUAAGUGCAAAAUAAUGGGGCAUGAAAAAGCAGUAUGCCUGGUAAAAGCAAGGCCAAUGCAAAAAAAAAAAAAAAUCAAAUCAAACUCUUGAUAUAGUAAGUCAUAUCCCCAACAAGGUGGUACAAAAAAACACUCUUAAAUGUUGUUGCAAUCAAUGGAGUUAUGAUAAAAAAUCUUCGACAGUGGAGAAGGAAAGUUGUGGAAAUGUCAAGAUGAUCACCAACUUUAACCCUCCCCUAAACACUUUUUGAGCCUAAUGAUCCUUUCAUUUCUCAACCUAUGAACCAAGCCUACGUUACGUGCUUUGCAAAGUCUGUUCUAAUCAGGGCACUUGAAUUAACCUAGGGGUUCACAUGUUUUAAGCAUCGCUCGAAGAAGUGCGAGCAAGAUUAUUUCUUUCUCAUUUUGCAGGGUUCUUGACUUGUAAACCCAGAGAUGAUUACAGAAUAUCACUCAUUCUUUCAAAAGCCUCGACUCAAAGAGUCCCUUUUGUUAAGCCGUUGACCAAGCCCACACUACGAUCCUUGUUCAAGACCUCUCAGAUUGGUAAGGUCGUAUCACUUGCGAGAUUGCACAAAACCUUGUUUGACAUGAUGACAUUGAGAUAGAGUGGUUGCCAAAAUCCCGCGUCAAAGGUCAGGAUGAAACAACUCUUUUGAUAAGGAUGAGAGAAAAGUCAUUUCAGACCAAAAGAUCCCUCAUUUGACACAUCCAUGACACUCAUGUGUUCAGAUUGGAAUAUUCUUUUGAGAUACUUCCUAAUGGAAAUUAGGUGAUGCAAGAUUAAUGGAAAUCAUCAUGAACCUCCUUUAUAUUGAUGCAUGUUUAUGAUUACAAGUGCAUGUUGCAUCUCCUAUGACCAUGUUUUGCAGGAGACGUAUCUCCGAAGAUCGGAGAUGUUACCAGGUAAGUAUAUCUCUAUCCAUACCUUGAAUAUUUGUCAUUGCACAGGUAUUCCCUUUGAAGCAUACCGACACUCAAUUUAGUUGUCCCCAAAAGAUUUUUCUCCAGAUUCAAUCUGAUUAAGGCGACCGAAGAAUGGUUUGGGUCCUGGUCGGAUGAUUUCUAUCGCAAGGCUGGGUGACUGAAGAAUGGUUUGGGUCCUAUCCAAGCAAAACCUUAGUCUAGGCGACCGUAGAAUGGUACGGGUCAUAAACAACAUUUAUUGCUCUAACAGGCGACCGUAGAAUGGUAUGGGUCCUGGAAAAGCAAUUUCCUCAUUCAGGUGAUCGUAAAAUGGUACGGGUCAUGGAAAAAUAAUUUUCUUUGUCAAGGCGACCGUAGAAUGGUACGGAUCCUUGACAGCACCUAUUCCUUAUUCAGGCGACCGUAGAAUGGUACGGGUCCUAGACACAACCAAACUAUGCCAUACUAGGCGACCGUAAAAUGGUAUGGGUCCUGGGAAAGCAGUCACUUUGUGAAGUCAUGUUACUAUUCUAGGCGACCGUAGAAUUGUACGAGUCCUGGGAAAGUAGUCUCUUUAUGAAGCCAUGUUACUAUUUUGGGCGACCGUAGAAUGGUACGGGUCUUGGACAUGUAACACCAAUCUAUCUUGAGUUACUCUACCAUCCCCGAAGGUAAGUAAUUCCAGGUAAGUUCAUUUAUCAUUAGCAUUAGCAUUUCCAUGCAUCAUAUAAAUUUCAUUUCAAAAUGGGAUUCAUCUUCCCCAAAAAAAAAAAAAAAAAGAGUCACUCAGUACAUCUGCAUAAUUAACAUUUAGGUCUCAACUUGUCUUUGAAAGCAACUUCUACGAGCUCACCUUCAAAGAGGGGCAGCCGUUGACACCUGUUUUUAGCAAAUCUAGGAAAAUAAAGAAAAUAAAAAUUGCAUUGGAACAAAUAAAAGGAAAAAAUGAAAAAAAUGAGGGAAAUUGAUUUGAUUGAUUAUGCAUGGAAAUUUGAAAUUUUGAUGAGCAUUCGGAUUUCAUUAAAUGCAGAAACAAUUUAAAAAUCAAGUGAAUAAGAGGCAAGAAUUUUGCAAAAUGGAAGAAAUCUGAGUAGGAUUGGACUGAUUACGAAAUCAUGCUCUGAUUUACAGCUCUACUUUAAUGCGACAGAAGAUGGAAACUCGAAAAAUGCCAUACAAAGCGGCCGUUCGGAAUGAGUAUAAAAGAGAGCUUCAUUUUUCGUAACUAAGGGGCGAAAAAAAUUGGGGUGAAUUCAAAAGAAUUUAAAGAGAAAAUUCUUGCGAUCGUCCAUCUUAGUCAAAGGGAAAACCCUUUUUCCCUCCUUUCUCUAACAAGAAAAAGUCAAAAAGAAAAUAUAGCAGAGAGAAGAGACAGAGAGAGGAGACGUAGGAAGUGACGUGAGGGAGAGAAAAAAAAGAAAGAAAAAAAGAGAAAACGCUACAGUGUCGUCUUCUCCAAAGGGGCCUCCCGAUCAUUCCAGGUGUGCCCGCGUUGUCCAGCGUGUCGGCCAACGCGCCGGUGCCACCUUCGCCAGCCACCUCCGCGUCUCCGCCACUACCGCUCCGACGCACUGCACCCCUGGCCUUCGCCGCAUCUCCGCCACCGUGCCUCUCCCCCGCCGGUGAUCCCUGCUACCCGGAUCGACGCCCACUGCCGCGCCUUUGCACCCGCGACCUGCUGCUGCCCAGCCCGACGCCGGAGCUCCGAAGCCUGUCGCUCUUGACCUUGCCGCACUGCUCGCCUCAGCCCAGCACCCAACACCUUUACGGCCCUGCCUUGACUGCCCGUUGCAGCAACCUGCACUGACCCCUUCUGCUCCGCCUGCAGCUACACCAUCGCCCAGUAGCUCGAGGCGCUGCUGCUGUUCUCCACCAGGCGACCCAACGCCGUUGCCUCCUGCUCGCUUGUCACCGCGCCAGAGUGCUGCCUGAUUCGACGCAAUCCUGCGUCGGAGCUCGACGCCGUCGCCGCCCAGCAGUCCGCGACGCCCUGAUGCUAGCCGAGCCCCGCACCGCUGUCGACGUCACCACCCAGCAACCCGCGGUCCAGUUCCACCUUCGCUCCGUUCGAACACCGCUGCCUUGCGACAACCAACGCCCGACACCCACGGUAGCCCAUCGUCCUACAAAUCGAGGCCACAAGCGACACCCGCGACAUUUACUCGCCGCACCACCGCUCGGAGUCCGACACCGCGCGCCUCUGCAACCGGCGACCCACCCGUCGCUAAGUCCGGCCCGUUGCUCGCCUUCCCCUCAGAAUCCCGCUCACCAACGUUGCUGCAAGUCCCCUCCCCUCAUUUAGGUAGUUUAGUUUAUUUUUUUUAUGUUAUUUUUAUUUUAUUUGAUAGCAUCUUUAAGUUUAGUUAUCUAAAUUGCAAUAUUGGAUGUUAAUAUUUGUGAAUUUAGUAUGCAUUAUCCGUAGGGAUUUUUUCUGGAAUUAUUAUAAUUAUUAAUUUGAUCCGAAAGACAUUGGAUCAUUUUUUUAAUUAUUUUAAUUGUUGGGCUUUUUAGUGAGAUUUUAAUUGUUAAAUCGCAAUAAUUAUUUAAUUUGGUCCGUAAGACUUCAGAUCAGAUUUGUAAUUAUUUUGAUCUCUUUGUUGUGAUAAUUAGGGUUAGAAUAACCGUUAAUUUGACCUGUGAGACAACAGGUUAUUUUUUCGAUUAUUUUAAUCCUUCCUCGCUUGAUUUUGUUGAUAGUUUAGAUUUAAUAAUUACUUAUCUUUAAAAAAAACUAAAAAAAAUCAAAAUAAAAAAUGAAAAAAAAAAUCAAAAUCUCGAUUGAGCAUAUAGGACAUAUAGGUUUAAUAAAUUAGACACGUAGGUUUAAUUAAUCAAAUUUUUAGUAUUAUAUUUUUAGGACUGCAUUUUUAGAUAUUUAAAAAAAAAUAAGUUAGGAUUAGACUUAAAUAGCCCUUUUUAGAGUCUUAGAUAUAAUUGGCACAUUUUCAUAUUCUCAUCCUCUUUUUAAAAAAAAAAAACUUAAACAAUAGUUUUCUAAGAUAGGAUAGGGUUUAAGUCAAAUUAAUCCCUAGAAUAAAUUAGAAAAUUAUCCCUUUUUAGAUAGAUUAAUUAGGAUCUUUAUAAAUUCUGAAUUUCAAAUAAAAAAAAAUCCAAAAUACUAGGUGCAUGUUAACUAGUUUGCAUAAUAGGAUUAUUUAAUCAAAACUUGUUAAUUAGUGAAGUUAGGUCAUGAGGUGCAUAAUAAUUAGUUUGCAUAAUAGGCCCAUUUAAUUAAAAUUUGCAUAUUAAUAAGAUUAAGUCAUUUAGUUUAAAAUAGCAUUUUCAUAAAAGAAUUCUAAUUUUUAAGAAAAUCCAAAAAAAAAAAAAGAUUGCUUGCUUUGUGUGAUGCAAUGGAUUAGCACUCGUGUGGUCACCACAUUUGCAUGAUAGUAAUUUAGAUUAAAAUAAAUCAAAGCUGCCUGAAAAAACAUUUUUAAAAUUAAAAAGAAAUGGUACCGAAAGGGCAUUAGAAAAUUCUAGUGUAACCAAGUCCCCGUACCCUUAGUCUCUGGUUCGUAGGAGUAAAAUAAAUCUCCCUUUAUUUUACUUAGGUGUCUGAUCGACCUACCAUAAACCGAUUAGUGGCGACUCCUAGAUAAUAACCUCUUGCAUGUUAGAUAAUUGAACCUUAAGUCGCGAAUUGGUAUAGGCUUGGGAGAGCCCGAGCUAAGUUUAAAAACUUAGCAGUCCAUUAACCUAGUUUUAGGUGGUGCACCCGAAAAAUAGGUCGCGACAACGGUCAGUAUCCAGGUCUCUUGUCUUUCGUCGAAAGUCAUUUUAAAUUCAUCUUGACUCUAUUUAUGAUUGAAUUAGUCAAAGUGUAAUAAAUUUUAGGACUUUUAAAAAUUUUCUCCUAUAUUUAUAUCCUCGUCGAUCAAUUUCUAAGUAUUAGAAUUAUAUUUAUGAAAAAUAAACAGUAAACUCUAUGAUGAGUAUAAACCUAUCACAUUGGGUCUAAAAUUCAUAUAUAGCCCUAAAAAAUAAAUUAGUGAUAUAUGGGUCACCUCUACUUCAAUUUUGAACAUUAAAUAAGUUUCAAAUUUAAAAGUUAAAAUAAAUAGGUCUAAAUAAAUUGAGUUUAUAACUCAUUUCCAACUGACUAGGCGCUUACACACACACACACACUCUCUGUCUCUCUCUUCCUCCCCCUCCCCCUCCCUCUUCAACAUUAUAAAAAUAUUUAAAAAAUUGAAAUUAUAAUUAUUUUUCUUUUUUCCUUCUUCCUUCUUCCAUCUUCCUUGGUCGGUGGCUAGCCACAAUAAUGGUGGCUAGCCACAAUAAUGGUUGACAAAGCUUGACCUCGUUGAUUGGGCAAGUCGAGGAGUGCCAACAUCUAGUGCUGGUAAGGCUCAAGCUCGCCUAUGUUUGGCAUUGGUGAGGCUCAAGUCUCAUUGAUCCGAUGAGACUCGAGCUUGUCGGUCUCAAGUGAGCAAGGCUCAAUUUGCAUGGAAUCGAGUGAGCUCGAGCCUCAUAAGCUUGUGGCGAGACUCGGGUUCACUUGUGGCUAAUCGUUGGCCAUUGUUGUGGCUGUAGACCGAUCGAAGAAAGAAAAUGAAAAAAUGAAAAAAAAAUUAAAAUUUGAUUUUAAAAAAUAUUUAAAAGAAUGUACAGAAGAAAAUCAAAUCAGAUUUUUCAUACCAAACAGCAUAAAAUAUUUUCUAAUUUAUUUUCAAAUUAAGGCAAAUACCAUAAAAUAUUGUUAUUUUCCUUGAAAAUGACUUUUUGGAAAACAUUUUCCAUGAAACAAACGAAACUUUAAUUUAAAAAAAAUUAUAAAAAUUGUACAGUAGAUUUAUAUUGCAUGAGAUUGUUUUAACAAUACAAUUUAAAAAAAAAUCAUAAGAAAUAAAUUUUCUUAGAUUUAGUUAAAUGGUUCGGCUCAGGUAUGGGUUAAAAAAUUAUAUUAUGAUAAAUGAGUCAUAACGGGUCAAAAGAAUCAAUUUGGGUUGGAUUCAAACCCAACCAGAUCUACCCAUUUGAGAGGUCUAAAUGAGUAUGUCAUGAUUAUAUAAAAAUGAAUUCAGUUAAUUUAUCUCCUAUAAAUUGAGAAAUUGUGCAAACUAGGAGAGAAUGCAAAAUUGUAACUAUUAAUUAUUAAUAUAAUGUUGAGUGGAAAGACAUAUUUUGCUCUGGCUCAAAACUUUAGAGCAAUUCCCUAAAUGAAAUACUAUUUGCUAUGCUUAAGUUUGAACCUGCUAAUAUCCAUCUCGACCAUAACUAGGGGUCAUCAAUAAUACCUAGAUCGACUCAAAUAGAGCCCAUCGGAAUUGAAAUUUUUGGGUCUUGACCAUGAUGACAUGUAAUACAUACAUACCAGAUAUAAACUUUUCGACAUCAAACAAGAUAUUGAAGAUAAUUUCUCUACCCCGGUAGAAGCCAUAACAAGGCACUCAACUUUGAGCCUCCGGCACUGAUUUUGUGUGAACUUUGUGAAGCAACCACGAGAAACAACCCUGAGAGAUCUUCUCUUGAUCAUCAAUGGUUGCUCUUCCAUUUUCAUCGAGAUCUAUCGUAGAACUAUGGAGAGAAGUCCAAACGGCGCUAAGGUAUGAUUUAAAUUACAUAAUCAUUCAUCUAUGCUCUACCAAAUUGAAAGACUUGUGCAUAAUCAGUCAUCUCUCGUUCUUUGUUCUGUUUUCCUUGUUGUAUUUUUCCAAUAAAUUCAUGCAUACAUAUCCACUAGCUAUGAUCUCUUCAGACAUACAAUGUGCUUCUUAGUGCACUCUUCUCAUAUUCUUCUAACUUUAUUCGCAAGAGUAAUCAUACAACAUUAAGGUAAAAGAAGCACUAGUGGAUUUAUCUGCAAUAGAUAUGUUCAUCGAGAUAAGAAAAUUCUUCGAUGAUACAAAAAUCUUGACCCAUCAAUCGUUCCAUGAUAGAGUUAUUACCGAAUAACUCAAUUUUAUUUUCAUCGUAAAAGUGCCUUAGUCUCAGCGGUUAUUCAACUAAUCGUGUUUGGACGGACGGUAAUUGCUUCCUUUUCCGACACAAAGGUGGUUGACGUGGCCGAACCGAUAGAGGAAUAAAUGCUGCCGCAGAAACAUGGAAACUCGAUUCUCAUGGACCGUUAAAUAAAGUUAGUCCCACAUGAGGCCCUCCUUUCAUGUGAAUGGGGCUCAAACGAUGCGAAUUUGAACCACAAUUCUCAAGUUCCGAACACAGAGUUUGAAUCUUGAAUGAGGCAAAUUUUGUUUUUAGUCAUAUGUUAACCGGGCUCCUUCAUCCAUUAGCUAACGUCAGUCUCAUUCCUCUCAAGUGUUUAUUUGAGCUCCGGAUUGAACCAUAGACUCAGCGGAUGAUAUGUGCGAAUUUCCAAAAUUCAUCAAAACUAAAUAGCCCAAAACACUUUAGUUUAUCAUGAUGGAUUAAACCUACGAAUCUUGAGCAAGGCUAAAGCGAAUCAAAGCAAAUUCAUAUAGGUUCAAACUGUACUUUCAAUUCAAAAAAAAAACCACCAGUAAAAAUACAAUAUCGAUAUUCAACACAAUACCCUGGAAAAAAGAAAAAGGGGGAAAAUUCUCGUGAACUCACGAGACAAGAUUCAGCUAUAGACAUUUGCACAAGCAGAAAGGAAAGAAAAGAAAAAAGAAUUCCCCGCUGAAGCUAAAAACCAUUCAUGGCGGGGAGCUACUCCGAGGGAACAACACGGGGCGCUUCUGCAGAGGAAGGAUGGACAUGGGCCUUUCCGAACACCCGAGACAAAGAGAAACGUCCUCUCCCUCCUCCUCUCGCCGUCCUCUCCUCCUUCUUGCGAUCGCCCGUGACCGCGCCCGCGUCCUCAGCUGUCUUCGCCUUCUUCAUCUUCUCCUUGUGAAGCUUCCGCAUCACGUACACCUCCGCGAGGCUCGCGCCCGCCUGAUAAACCCCCGUGCCCGACAUUUGUUUCCCCUUCCUUACGAACCCGAAAAGCUUGGAUUCCUGCCGGUCGCGAUGAGCGAUGGAGGGGAUGCUGCAAAUUAUGCAGGGCAUGGGGAUAAGGGGGCGGUAUAUGUAGAGCGAUAGAGAGAGAGAGAGAGAGAGAGAAGGGGGGGUGUCGUGUUGGGUUGGGGGAGCGAGAAGGCGACUCUUAAAUUCGCGUCUUGCGGCAAAUCGCUUAGCGUGUUCUGCACAUUUUCCUCCGCGCUUCGCCUCCAAACUUCGUGAGCAAGGCAUAAGGCACGCGCCCACCCGAAAGCGACCCCACCCGCCUGGGGAAUUCGAACGGGGCGGGCCGGGAGAGGAGGGAUGACGCCAGCCAGGAGGUGGCGUUCCACCCCGGGUUUGGACCAGAUGGGGCGGGGCGGGGCCGGGGCCGGGGUCGGGGCCAUUGGUAUCUGGUUCGCUCAUCUUUUGUCGAAGGUCAUUUUAAAUAAUUUUAUUUUAUAAAAAUCGUACACUGAAUUUUUAUUACACAGAGGUGUUUUAUCAAUAUAAUAUCUUUAAAAAUCAUAAGAAACAAGCUUUUCUAAAUUUGGUUAAAUGGGUCAAUUUUGUUUGAAUAAUUUAUGACUUGACACGACCCGACUCCAAUUUGACAAAUUUAAAUGAGUAUGUUAUGAUUACAAAAAACUAAAUUAAGUUGAUUUAUCUCAUAUAAAUUGAGAAAUCAUGCAAAGUAGGAGAGAAUGUAAAAUUGUUAUAAUAAAUUAUUAGUAUAAUAUUGAGGGGAAAGACAUUUUUUGCUCUAACCACAGUCUUUCGAGCAAUUCCUUGGAUGAAAUACUAAUUGCUAUGCUCGAAUUCAAACCUGCUAAUUUCCAUUUCAACCACGACUAGGGGUUGUCAAUAAUACCCAAACCAACCUGAUCUGAAUAGAUCCACCCAAACUAAAAUUUUCAAGUCUUGACCAUGAUGACAUGUAAUACAUACAAAACAGACAUAAACAUUUCUACUUCGAACAACAUAUUGAAGACGAUCUCUCUACCCUAGUGGGAGCCAUAACAAGGCGCUCAACUUCAAGCCUCCGGCACAGUUUUUGGGUGAACUUUGUAAAGCCACCUCGAGAAACAACCCCGAGAUUUCCUCGCUUGAUCUUCAAAGGUUGGUCUUCCAUCUUCAUCUCCUCCUUGCUUCUUCCUCUUCUUCUUCAUCAUCAUCUUCUCCUUGUACUGCUUUCUCAAUAAAUAAGCUUCUGCUAGCUCAAGCCCUGCCAUGGACGUGAUGGACAUGUCCUAAGAUGCAAAACGAAGCGCAAUUAUUGCGGGGGAGGAGGAGAAUAAUAAUUUUAAGAACUAAUGAGAUGAGUAGAUGAGGUGGUUUAUAGAGGUGGCAUGUUCUUGGAGAGCAAGCACAGCAUAAAGCAUCGGUUUCAAACCCUAAUUUGUCAUCUAUAGUGAGACUUGAAAGUGACUGGGUAGAAGUUUAUAGCCCAUCACUAAUAUUUUUUGUGUUAUCUUUGCCAAGUCACCGUUUAUGGCAGCUUCAUU
rnacentral:lncRNA from 1 species